rnacentral:rRNA from 1 species
AGAGUUUGAUCCUGGCUCAGGAUGAUUGCUGGCGGCGUGCCUAACACAUGCAAGUCGAACGGAACUUUGUGGAACAGCUUGCUGGGAAAUAAAGUUUAGUGGCGGACGGGUGAGUAACGCGUGGGUAACCUGCCUCAUAGAGGGGGAUAACGGUUGGAAACGAUCGCUAAUACCGCAUAAGCCCACAGUACCGCAUGGUACAGGGGGAAAAGAUUCAUCGCUAUGAGAUGGACCCGCGUUUGAUUAGCUGGUUGGCGGUGUAACGGACCACCAAGGCGACGAUCAAUAGCCGGACUGAGAGGUUGAACGGCCACAUUGGGACUGAGACACGGCCCAAACUCCUACGGGAGGCAGCAGUGGGGAAUAUUGCACAAUGGAGGAAACUCUGAUGCAGCAACGCCGCGUGAAGGAUGAAGGUCUUCGGAUCGUAAACUUCUGUCCUUAGGGAAGAUAAUGACGGUACCUUUGGAGGAAGCCCCGGCUAACUACGUGCCAGCAGCCGCGGUAAUACGUAGGGGGCAAGCGUUAUCCGGAAUUAUUGGGCGUAAAGAGUGCGUAGGUGGUUACCUAAGCGAGGGGUGAAAGGCACUGGCUUAACCAAUGUCAGCCCCCCGAACUGGGCUACUUGAGUGCAGGAGAGGAAAGCGGAACUCCAUGUGUAGCGGUGAAAUGCGUAGAUAUAUGGAAGAACACCAGUGGCGAAGGCGGCUUUCUGGACUGUUACUGACACUGAGGCACGAAAGUGUGGGGAGCAAACAGGAUUAGAUACCCUGGUAGUCCACACCGUAAACGAUGAGCACUAGGUGUCGGGGGAGAAAUUCCUCGGUGCCGCAGUUAACGCAUUAAGUGCUCCGCCUGGGGAGUACGUACGCAAGUAUGAAACUCAAAGGAAUUGACGGGGGCCCGCACAAGCGGUGGAGCACGUGGUUUAAUUCGAUGCAAACCGAAGAACCUUACCUGGAUUUGACAUACAUGUGGUAGUGAAGUGAAAACGGAACGACCUUAGCUUGCUAAGGAGCAUGAACAGGUGCUGCAUGGUUGUCGUCAGCUCGUGUCGUGAGAUGUUGGGUUAAGUCCCGCAACGAGCGCAACCCCUAUGGUCAGUUGCUAACAGGAGAGCUGAGCACUCUGGCGAGACUGCCGCCGACAAGGCGGAGGAAGGUGGGGACGACGUCAAAUCAUCAUGGCCUUUAUGUCCAGGGCGACACACGUGCUACAAUGGCCGGCACAGACGGAAGCGACUUUGCGAAAAGGAGCGGAUCCUCGAAAGCCGGUCCCAGUUCGGACUGCAGUCUGCAACUCGACUGCACGAAGUCGGAAUCGCUAGUAAUCGCGCAUCAGCCAUGGCGCGGUGAAUACGUUCCCGGGCCUUGCACACACCGCCCGUCA